GGGGGCGUGCUGAGCCUGCUGCGCCGCCUGCUGGUGGAGGUUAUACAUGGCGCUGAGGGAGUUCAUGGCGUGCAGGGAGUAGCCGUUUACCCCGUAGUGCUGCAUGACCUGGGGAAAGCAUCAGGGAGCCGACAUGCUGAUGCGUCAGUGCCAAAGCAGCUCCAGAACAUCCUCGUAAAGACCCUUUUCCCACUUCUGUGAAGGUGACCACAAGUUUUUCCUCACUAGUUCAUCCCGGCGCGAUCCACGCGAAAGGCAACACGAGGCCGCGCUCGCGAGCGCUCCCCUUCUCGCAGACGUUGACAUAUCGAGGUUGGCAGACCAUGUUCUGCACAAAGCCCUCUUAGAAAGGCUUUGGAGCUGAAGAGCCGCAUCCGCCAUUAAGCCACUGAGCAAGCUAGCACGGUGUGUGUGGACAUGUGAAACAAAAAACGAAGGUGCUGGAUGGCCAAACGGUACCCUGCAGCAGAGGCCUUGCCUUGGAAGUGCUGUCAGAUCCUGCCAAUAGCCGUAAUGGACCCUAAUUCCACAUCAAUGCAGCCUAAAUGAAGUGUCACAGGAAGAUUGAUCUGCUCAGAUGAAGGUUGUUCUCCUGCAGCUCGGCGCUUCUCCUCCGCAAACACCCUCAGGUGCACGGGCGCCAUAAUGCCGCCGGCGGGAGACUUUGCAGGGAGCUUAAACACGAGCAGUCCUCCUACUGUACACAUCUAAACCCCCCAUUUUGCUCCUUUGCGUGAGUAAUUCUUGUCCACAGAAGUGGAUUUUUACUCUCUGUCACUUUUUAAUCGCUACUUUCUCCUCUUUGCGGCGCAUUAGGCUAAUCACACACUAAUUCUUAACUUCUCAGAAUAUACUGGGUGGCGUUGCCGGGCUCGCUAUGCCUCAUAUCUACAAUGAAGGAUUCACCUGGUAUUCAAGGCCAUGCCAUUCUAGGGACAACCAAAAUCAUAUUAGUGCUUUUUUUUCAAACACUUAUACAGUGGUACCUCUACUUACGAACGUCGCUUUGUUACGAAACGCCUCAACAGGAAAAUAUUGCCUUCAGAUACGAAAGGUAAAAAUACAGUUACGGUUGCUAAUUGCAAGUCCGAUUUUCCUGAAACGCAACAUACUUAUAGCUACUCUGCCAUUGGCUAUUCCGGAGCAUCGUCCUGUUCUCCUAUUGGCUAAGAGGGACCCUUACGUAAAGCUGACAAAAGCAGACGGCCUUUGCUCAGUUCUUUAUAAAACGGCAGGCAAAAGCCACUUCUCAGAGAGAACAUGAACAAAAAAGG